rnacentral:rRNA from 1 species
GACGAACGCUGGCGGCGUGCUUAACACAUGCAAGUCGUACGGUAAGGCCCUUUCGGGGGUACACGAGUGGCGAACGGGUGAGUAACACGUGAGUAACCUGCCCACAACUUUGGGAUAACGCUAGGAAACUGGUGCUAAUACUGGAUAUGUGCUCCUGCUGCAUGGUGGGGGUUGGAAAGCUCCGGCGGUUGUGGAUGGACUCGCGGCCUAUCAGCUUGUUGGUGGGGUAGUGGCCUACCAAGGCGGCGACGGGUAGCCGGCCUGAGAGGGUGACCGGCCACAUUGGGAAUGAGAUACGGCCCAGACUCCUACGGGAGGAAGCAGUGGGGAAUAUUGCAAAAUGGGCGCAAGCCUGAUGCAGCAACGCCGCGGGCGGGAUGACGGCCUUCGGGUUGUAAACCGCGUUCAGCAGGGACGAAGCUUUUUGUGACGGUACCUGCAGAAGAAGCACCGGCUAACUACGUG